ensembl:rRNA 5S_rRNA 5S ribosomal RNA
GUCUAUGGCCACACCACCCUGAACACACCGGAUCUCAUCUGAUCUCAGAAGUUAAGCAGGGUUGAGCCUGGUUAGGACUUGAAUGGGAGACUGCCUGAAAAUAUCAGGUGCCUAGGCU